rnacentral:rRNA from 1 species
CACGUAGGGGCCAAGCGUUGUCCGGAUUUAUUGGGCGUAAAGCGCACGUAGGCGGAUUGCUAAGUCAGGGGUGAAAUCCUGGAGCUCAACUCCAGAACUGCCUUUGAUACUGGCGGUCUCGAGUCCGGGAGAGGUGAGUGGAACUGCGAGUGUAGAGGUGAAAUUCGUAGAUAUUCGCAAGAACACCAGUGGCGAAGGCGGCUCACUGGCCCGGUACUGACGCUGAGGUGCGAAAGCGUGGGGAGCAAACAGG